AUCCAGUUAACGAGGCUCAAAUAGGACGAAACGCGCGUCCUGGAU
rnacentral:hammerhead_ribozyme from 1 species